rnacentral:misc_RNA from 1 species
UCCGGUUUGUCACCGGCAGUCCCAUUAGAGUGCCCAACUGAAUGUGGCAACUAAUGGCAAGGGUUGCGCUCGUUGCGGGACUUAACCCAACAUCUCACGACACGAGCUGACGACAGCCAUGCAGCACCUGUGUUGCGGUUCCCUUUCGGGCACCGAGGUAUCUCUACCCCGUUCCGUACAUGUCAAAGGUGGGUAAGGUUUUUCGCGUUGCAUCGAAUUAAACCACAUCAUCCACCGCUUGUGCGGGUCCCCGUUAAUUCCUUUGAGUUUUAACCUUGCGGCCGUACUCCCCAGGCGGAUGACUUAAUGCGUUAGCUGCGCCACCGAAAGCCCAUGGCCCCCGACAGCUAGUCAUCAUCGUUUACGGCGUGGACUAC